CGAGCCGGCCGGGCGGUCGCGUGGGGAUCAGCAAGAUCCUCCCGAGGAACGUCCGGGCUCCACAGGGCAGGGUGGUGGGUAACGCCCACCCGGGGUGACCCGCGGGACAGUGCCACAGAAAGCAAACCGCCCGGGCCGCACGGCCCGGGUAAGGGUGAAACGGUGGUGUAAGAGACCACCAGUGCCCAGGGUGACCUGGGCAGCUAGGUAAACCCCACCCGGAGCAAGGUCAAGAGGGGCCAUCGGCUGAUGGCCCUGCGCGGACGAUCGAGGGCUGCCCGCCCGAGUCCGCGGGUAGACCGCACGAGGCUGCCGGCAACGGCAGCCCUAGAUGGAUGGCCGCCUCCCGGCCGACCGCAAGGUCGCCCGGAGACAGAACCCGGCGUACAGGCCGACUCGUCCG
rnacentral:RNase_P_RNA from 1 species